AUUGAACGCUGGCGGCAGGCCUAACACAUGCAAGUCGAACGGUAACAGGAAGCAGCUUGCUGCUUCGCUGACGAGUGGCGGACGGGUGGGUAAUGUCUGGGAAGCUGCCUGAUGGAGGGGGAUAACUACUGGAAACGGUAGCUAAUACCGCAUAAUGUCGCAAGACCAAAGAGGGGGACCUUCGGGCCUCUUGCCAUCGGAUGUGCCCAGAUGGGAUUAGCUUGUUGGUGGGGUAACGGCUCACCAAGGCGACGAUCCCUAGCUGGUCUGAGAGGAUGACCAGCCACACUGGGACUGAGACACGGUCCAGACUCCUACGGGAGGCAGCAGUGGGGAAUAUUGCACAAUGGGCGCAAGCCUGAUGCAGCCAUGCCGCGUGUAUGAAGAAGGCCUUCGGGUUGUAAAGUACUUUCAGCGGGGAGGAAGGGAGUAAAGUUAAUACCUUUGCUCAUUGACGUUACCCGCAGAAGAAGCACCGGCUAACUCCGUG
rnacentral:rRNA from 1 species